rnacentral:misc_RNA from 1 species
GAUGAAGAACGUAGCGAAAUGCGAUACGUAAUGUGAAUUGCAGAAUUCAGUGAAUCAUCGAGUCUUUGAACGCACAUUGCGCCCCCUGGUAUUCCGGGGGGCAUGCCUGUCCGAGCGUCAUUGCUGCCCUCAAGCACGGCUUGUGUGUUGGGCCUCCGUCCUCCUCCCGGGGGACGGGCCCGAAAGGCAGCGGCGGCACCGCGUCCGGUCCUCGAGCGCAUGGGGCUUCGUCACCCGCUCUUGUAGGCCCGGCCGGCGCUUGCCGACACAUCAAUCUUUUUUCCAGGUUGACCUCGGAUCAGGUAGGGAUACCCGCUGAACUUAAGCAUAUCAAUAAGCGGAGGA